UGGGGAAUUUUGGACAAUGGGCGAAAGCCUGAUCCCAGCAAUGCCGCGUGUGUGAAGAAGGCCUUCGGGUUGUAAAGCACUUUUUGUCCGGAAAGAAAUCCUUGGCUCUAAUACAGUCGGGGGAUGACGGUACCGGAAGAAUAAGCACCGGCUAACUACGUGCCAGCAGCCGCGGUAAUACGUAGGGUGCAAGCGUUAAUCGGAAUUACUGGGCGUAAAGCGUGCGCAGGCGGUUUGCUAAGACCGAUGUGAAAUCCCCGGGCUCAACCUGGGAACUGCAUUGGUGACUGGCAGGCUAGAGUAUGGCAGAGGGGGGUAGAAUUCCACGUGUAGCAGUGAAAUGCGUAGAGAUGUGGAGGAAUACCGAUGGCGAAGGCAGCCCCCUGGGCCAAUACUGACGCUCAUGCACGAAAGCGUGGGGAGCAAAC
rnacentral:rRNA from 1 species